UCAUCUUUCCUGCUAAUGCUUUACAUACAGGGAACCUUCUGAGACCCGAUGGUGUUUAGAUUAUUGUAUUGGUAAUUCAUCAAAUCUGAUUCUUUUUAUCUCAUUUUUUUCUCCCUCAUGGGAUUCUGUAAAUCAUAAAGGUAUAUAUCACACUAUCACAGUAUUUUAUUUAACAUUUUACACAAAAAAAUAUAUCACAGAAUUUGUCCCAAUUGAUUUGAUUUUGAAUAUGCAUAUUUGUCAGCAGCCGCCAGCCCGUAAGAAUUAUUAAAUUUGACAUUUGUAUUCACAUAUUAAUUACUUAUAUUAACAUUACCCUAAAAUUUUCAAUUGCAGAUUAUAAAAUUCUAUAAUAUAUCAUAUUUUCGUGAAAGAAUCAGUCCAACAAUUACAUAUAUACAUGAAUUAUGUUUGUAAAACGGAUUAAAUUUAAAAUCACUUAAUGAAGUUUGUAAUUAGCUGGAUCUUAGUAAUUAGUUGGAUCUCUCCACGUGGGAGUUCCAUGCCGUAUGAGUUGGAAACAAAGGAUAUGAAAGGAAAGUUUCCAUUUUAAUUGUUUCAACCUUUCAAUGGCAAAUGCGAUUUCAAUACUGAAGAAAAAGAGAGUUGAGUUAGUUUAUAACCCAACUUGGUUCAGUGGAACGUACCGGGAACGUUACUAGUAGCAAAGAAGAAGGAACAAUAAUUUUGUUUAAAACCCAACUUGGUUCAGUGGAACGUACCGGGAACGUUGCUAGUAGCAAAUAAGAAGGAACAAUAAUUUUAACUUUUAAGGAAAAACCCAACUUCGGCAAUUAAGAUGAUUAUUUUUUCCGUAACAUGUACUGAUGUACAUAUACAUAUAUACAUAGAUAAUGUGUCAUCAGUUAUCUCUGUUAUAUCUUUUUUUUUGUUUGUCGCUAGUACCUAGAACUUAAUCCAAAUCGGAGAUACCAAAUUCGCAUUAAUGACACAUUAUCUAUGUCCAAGCUUUAGCAGUUAACACAUUCUUCAUUCAGAUCGAAGUGAAUCACGACUCAAAGUGAAUCUAAAUGAAAGAUAGAGUGACUUGGAUCAGAGAAAAAUUGUCAAAUAACAUUUUAAUAUUAAGGAAGGAUUCAGGACAGUUAACCAAGUGGAAAUAGAUCUUUUAGUGCAUGGCUAAGUAAUAAAACGGAAGUUGUAUAAGUGAAUAUUUCAUCAAAAUGAGACAAAAGUCAUGAACAUGUUAAAUGACUACUAUAUUAGUCAUGAACAUGUUACCAUUGAAGGGCAAGAGAUGAUGAAAAAGAAAAAUAACAUGAAUUGAUCAUGAUCAAGAGGAUGGUCGAGUGUAGAUUCAAGGCCUAAAAGAGAACACAAGAAAGAGGGACCCAAGUUUGAGAAUAUUAUAUUUUUAAUUCGAGAGAGAAAUAGAACGAGGGGAUCACUUGGAUCGGAGAGAAACCAAAUGUGUCCAAUGGGUUCUUUACCCAUGUCUCACGACUUGAAUGGCCAAUAACCGAAAUUUACCACCAACAAUAUAUACAUGAGAUAAGAGACCUAGUCCGAAAGAACUGUGAACAAGAUCGAUUCUUCUGAACAUGUGACUAAGUCUAAUAUUAAAAUAGUAUUUUUUUUUUCAAUGUAUAAUCCCACUAUUGUAAAGGAUUAGCCUACAUAAAAAUCUAUUUUUGAGCCAAAGACAGUUAGUAACCCACAUGAAGUGAUGUCAAAGUGACUCAAAGUGCCUAUACAUCUUAGUGAUUUCGAAAGAACCUUACUAGAAUUAGUAUAAAAAUACCACAGGACAGACAGCAACUAAGAAAAAAGAAAUAUGUUAGCCAAAUUCUAGUUAUAUCGGGUUGUUGAUAAUGAAAAAGAAGUUAUAUCGGGUUUAAUUUGAGGUUUAUAUGAAAGAAUUUAGCAUUUGUAUUGUUUAUUCAAAAAUUAAAAAAAACCCCAAAUGAAAGAGUAAUUUGCCCAAAAUUUCGAUUCUUUCUUACUUUGUUAAAGUUCUUUACCCUACUCGGAUACUGAUGAAAUACUAACUCAAAGAUUCUCUCAAAGAAAGAAAAUUAAGGGAGAGAGAGGGGGCGAGUUGCAUGAUUUAAUUAAAAUACAAACCCAACAUUAUGGGACAAUACAAAUCCAUGACACUAGCCCAUGUAUUUUAGGGUUUCUAACAAGAUAAAUUUAUACAUACAUAUGUUUAAUUAUAUUAAGAGAUAAAAUUUUGGGAAUUGCUACUUUGUGCAAACCACUGCUUCCAGUUUCAUUGUAUCAAUCAAUAAUCAUUUUAAUAUUAGUUUUAUUAAUUUAGUCUUCCCAUUUCCUUAAUUUUCUUGCACAAUAAAGCAUUGAAUGAGCUAUCUCAUUUUUUUUUGUCGAUUAAUGGAUUAUAUUAAAGUGCAAUGCGUAAGGCUGAUCUCCUGAUCUUUUACUUCUUCUAUUUUAUAAAAAAGUUUUAUUUUAACAAAUUUCACACAUCUUAGAAGAAACUUUAAAGUUAUACUAAUAUAUAAUCCUCUUUAAUCUAUUAACAAUUAAUUCAAAUGACUUAAGUAGAAAAGUUAUUAGUUUUGAGUAAUGGACAAAUUUGAAAACUAGUUUAAAAAGUAGCAUUAAAAAUGCAAAACGUUUGAAACAUAAAGAUAACUCUAAAACGAAUUUGUGCAACAAAGUGAAUAAUCUAUAUAAUGUCUUAAAAGCAUGAACUUUAUUAAAUAUGAACUUUAUGUUUGUGGAAUAGAGUUAAUUUGUAACAUCUAAAUAUUUAAAUAUGAAAAUGAUAUUUACAUUCUUAGCAAAACAUGAAUCUAGCAUUGAAAUCUGCUAAGAAAUUCCAUUAGUGAUUUUUUAUGAUUGGAACUUGAAAGCAAGAAAUACGAAUGAACCAUUCGAUUUUAGUUAGGAUAAAGAGUCCGGUGACCAGCGAAUAUCACAGUGAAACCGACCGCUUCUCAACCUCCAAUCCACGUUUUAAGAAUUAAUAGCCUUCCAGAGAACACAGGAUUAAGCGCGUGUAACCACGCGCGGCGAUUUUCUUUCCUCUCUUCUUUCCUCGAUCUCCUCUUUCCUCACCUUUUUCUUCGCGUUGCUCGGCGGUUUGCUCUAGCGAUUCCGGGGCUGUGAGGGAACCCACGUUUCUUUUGAUCCCCGUCUGCUCUUCAAUAAUGGAAAGAAAGACUUCUCCGGUGAUAUUUGGAAGCGAUUUGAGUGGCUAGGUGAUUCUGGUUUUGACAGCUGGGUUUUUCCAGAUCUGGACCUAGAGAACGUGGUUCGGUGAUGGAGUCUUGCUCGUUUGUGCAGGCGGUGUUGACCGGUGUUUUACACGUCGGUGUGGCGAAACCUUGGCCUUGGGUCAGUGUUGGGCGAGUGGGCUUGCGAUAGGUUCUUGUCGGAUGUGGCUGACUGUGGUAGCGGAGCCGCCCAUGGACAGUGGCAAAGCGAAGCGGCAGAGUUUUUCCAGCUUGUCUCCUUCCAAUUAGUAGGGGUGGGCACUUUGGUUUAUUUUCAGGUUCGGUUUGAGUUCGGUUCGAUUUGGUUUAAUUCGGGUUCAAUAAAAUUUUAAUCAAAUUCAACUGAAAUAAGUUUGGUUCGGUUUGAAUUCGGUUUGGUUUAGUUCGAUUUGGUUUUAGUUUGGUUUAAUUUGAAUUCAAUUUUAAAAAAAUCAGUUUGAAGAAAAGAAAUGAUGUGUUGGUUUAGGUGAAAUUUAACAUUCCACCAUAUUUCAAAAAACUAAUAUUAUGAUCUAACUAAAGUUAAAUAAAAUAAGUAUAUUAGUUUUUUGGUUUGGUUCGGUUUAAAAUCAAACCGAACCAAACUGUUUGGGUUGUGAAAAACUUCAACCAAAUGGGUUAUAUAUUAAAAAUGGAUCGGUUCAGUUCAGUUUAAAUUCAAUUGGUUCGGUUGGUUUAGUUUGGUUCGGUUUUUUUGCCCAUUCCUACCAAUUAGCCUUUCCCAUCUUGCCCCUCUUUUCAUCUGUGGUUGUGGUUGGGGUGAGCUGCGCGGCGUCUCGUCUUAAUCAGAGUUUAAAGAGGUUGUGGUAGUCUCGGCUUUUCGCAAUUCUCUAUCAGUGGUCAUGGGCCGUUCUGGGCUAGGUCGGAAGUAAUUUACUAAUAGCAGAGGUUUUCUGGUCCGAUUGCUCUUCGUUGGAGGUCUUGAUCCGGCGAAGUAGAGAACCGAGAGCGGUGGUUCUCCCUUGGCGGACGCGUCGUUUUAGAUUUUCUUUCAUUCAGUUUGUCUCCGGUUUGUUUGCUUCGGUUUGAUUCCUCUUUUUAAUUUCGAUUAUAUCUAGUUAGCCCGAUUUCCCAAACUUAUUCGGGUUUUGGUUUGGGUUUGUAAUCCAGUUUACUAAUAUAUUAUUAAAAGAAAAUUAAUAGCCCUCCAACUGAGAAAGAUGUGUGUGCAAAAAGGAACUGGUGGUACUUAAACGAUUCUGACGUCGUCGGUCACAACAACACUAGAGAGUAGAGUUAUUCGGAUAACCAAAC
rnacentral:lncRNA from 1 species